rnacentral:rRNA from 1 species
GCUUUACNGUAACUUGAAAUUGGUUUCCGGUUUNGUUUGCGCAGUAUAGGUGGGAGGCUAUGAUAAUACACUUGCGGGUUUGUUGGAGCCAUCAAUGAGAUACCACUCUAAUAAAACUAGAAUUCUAACCUUAUUGUCGUUAUCCGGCUAAGAGACAUUUUCAGGCUGGCAGUUUGACUGGGGCGGUCGCCUCCUAAAARGUAACGGAGGCGUGCAAAGGUUUCUUCAGGCUGGUCGGAAAUCAGUCGUAGAGUGCAAAGGCAUAAAGAAGCUUGACUGUAAGACCUACAAGUCGAACAGGGACGAAAGUCGGCCUUAGUGAUCCGACAGUUCCGAGUGGAAGGGCUGUCGCUCAACGGAUAAAAGUUA